GACGAACGCUGGCGGCGUGCUUAACACAUGCAAGUCGAACGGAAAGGCCCUGCUUUUGUGGGGUGCUCGAGUGGCGAACGGGUGAGUAACACGUGAGUAACCUGCCCUUGACUUUGGGAUAACUUCAGGAAACUGGGGCUCAUACCGGAUAGGAGCUCCUGCUGCAUGGUGGGGGUUGGAAAGUUUCGGCGGUUGGGGAUGGACUCGCGGUUUAUCAGCUUGUUGGUGGGGUAGUGGCUUACCAAGGCUUUGACGGGUAGCCGGCCUGAGAGGGUGACCGGCCACAUUGGGACUGGGAUACGGCCCAGACUCCUACGGGAGGCAGCAGUGGGGAAUAUUGCACAAUGGGCGGAAGCCUGAUGCAGCAACGCCGCGUGCGGGAUGACGGCCUUCGGGUUGUAAACCGCUUUCGCCUGUGACGAAGCGUGAGUGACGGUAAUGGGUAAAGAAGCACCGGCUAACUACGUG
rnacentral:rRNA from 1 species